rnacentral:lncRNA from 1 species
GUGCUGGCUAGAACCUGAAGUACAAUGUGGAAUAGAAAUGGCUUCCUGCAUUUCCUGGUCCAUGUCCUUCACCCUCCAUCUUUCAAAGCCAGCAAAGACCAGCAAUGUUUUGAAAAACACACAUAAUCCUUGGAUAAACAAGAAAAGAUGAUGAAUUGUAAGAAGAUAGUAAACUGUGGCCAAAGGCAAAAUCUUCUAUUAUCUAGCUAAAUGACCUCGAGCAAGUCUCUCCACCUCAGUUUCUUCGUCUCUAAAAUGUGGAAGGUUGAACUGACCACAGGUGAUCAGUGGUUUUCAAACUUUAAAAAAAAAUCCUUUCUUAAAAGUGUUUUCCAUGAAGUCUAAUAUUUAAAAAGAAUAAAAUAAAAUCUGAUCUGGUCCAGUAGAAGUAGG